rnacentral:sRNA from 1 species
UAAGUCGUCAGUCCACCUGGUUGGAGCCU